rnacentral:SRP_RNA from 1 species
GCUGGGUGUGGUGGCUCACACCUGUAAUCCCAGUGCUUUGGGAGGCUGAGGCGGGUGGAUUGCUUGAGGCCAGGAGUUCUAGAUCAGCCUGGCCAACAUGGCAAAACCCCAUCUCUA